rnacentral:rRNA from 1 species
GGGUUGUGAGGUUAAGCGACUAAGCGUACACGGUGGAUGCCCUGGCAGUCAGAGGCGAUGAAGGGCGUGCUAAUCUGCGAUAAGCGCCGGUAGGUGAUAUGAACCGUUAUAACCGGCGAUACCCGAAUGGGGAAACCCAGUGUGACUCGUCACACUAUCAUUAACUGAAUCCAUAGGUUAAUGAGGCGAACCGGGGGAACUGAAACAUCUAAGUACCCCGAGGAAAAGAAAUCAACCGAGAUUCCCCCAGUAGCGGCGAGCGAACGGGGAGGAGCCCAGAGCCUGAAUCAGCAUGUGUGUUAGUGGAAGCGUCUGGAAAGGCGCGCGAUACAGGGUGACAGCCCCGUACACAAAAGCGCAUGUGCUGUGAGCUCGAUGAGUAGGGCGGGACACGUGGUAUCCUGUCUGAAUAUGGGGACCAUCCUCCAAGGCUAAAUACUCCUGACUGACCGAUAGUGAACCAGUACCGUGAGGGAAAGGCGAAAAGAACCCCGGCGAGGGGAGUGAAAAAGAACCUGAAACCGUGUACGUACAAGCAGUGGGAGCCCCACCACCAAAGCAUUCUCUGGUGUUGAAGGCCCUGCAAAGCAGCAUCGCGGUGGCGGAGCGUCGUUUGCGACGCCCAACACACAAAACAAGCGGUGAAUGCUUUGGGGUGGGGUGACUGCGUACCUUUUGUAUAAUGGGUCAGCGACUUAUAUUCUGUAGCAAGGUUAACCGAAUAGGGGAGCCGGAGGGAAACCGAGUCUUAAUUGGGCGUUAAGUUGCAGGGUAUAGACCCGAAACCCGGUGAUCUAGCCAUGGGCAGGUUGAAGGUUGGGUAACACUAACUGGAGGACCGAACCGACUAAUGUUGAAAAAUUAGCGGAUGACCUGUGGCUGGGGGUGAAAGGCCAAUCAAACCGGGAGAUAGCUGGUUCUCCCCGAAAGCUAUUUAGGUAGCGCCUCGUGAAUUCAUCUCCGGGGUAGAGCACUGUUUCGGCUGGGGGCCAUCCCGGCUUACCAACCCGAUGCAAACUGCGAAUACCGGAGAAUGUUAUCACGGGAGACACACGGCGGGUGCUAACGUCCGUCGUGAAGAGGGAAACAACCCAGACCGCCAGCUAAGGUCCCAAAGUCAUGGUUAAGUGGGAAACGAUGUGGGAAGGCCCAGACAGCCAGGAUGUUGGCUUAGAAGCAGCCAUCAUUUAAAGAAAGCGUAAUAGCUCACUGGUCGAGUCGGCCUGCGCGGAAGAUGUAACGGGGCUAAACCAUGCACCGAAGCUGCGGCAGCGACGCUGAUGCGUUGUUGGGUAGGGGAGCGUUCUGUAAGCCUGUGAAGGUGUGUCGUGAGGCAUGCUGGAGGUAUCAGAAGUGCGAAUGCUGACAUAAGUAACGAUAAAGCGGGUGAAAAGCCCGCUCGCCGGAAGACCAAGGGUUCCUGUCCAACGUUAAUCGGGGCAGGGUGAGUCGACCCCUAAAGGCGAGGCCGAAAGGCGUAGUCGAUGGGAAACGGGUUAAUAUUCCCGUACUUGGUGUUACUGCGAAGGGGGACGGAGAAGGCUAUGUUGGCCGGGCGACGGUUGUCCCGGUUUAAGCGUGUAGGUGUGUGUUCCAGGUAAAUCCGGUUCACUUUAACACUGAGGCGUGACGACGAGGCACUACGGUGCUGAAGCAACAAAUGCCCUGCUUCCAGGAAAAGCCUCUAAGCAUCAGGUAACACGAAAUCGUACCCCAAACCGACACAGGUGGUCAGGUAGAGAAUACCAAGGCGCUUGAGAGAACUCGGGUGAAGGAACUAGGCAAAAUGGUGCCGUAACUUCGGGAGAAGGCACGCUGACACGUAGGUGAAGUGAUUUACUCAUGGAGCUGAAGUCAGUCGAAGAUACCAGCUGGCUGCAACUGUUUAUUAAAAACACAGCACUGUGCAAACACGAAAGUGGACGUAUACGGUGUGACGCCUGCCCGGUGCCGGAAGGUUAAUUGAUGGGGUCAGCGUAAGCGAAGCUCCUGAUCGAAGCCCCGGUAAACGGCGGCCGUAACUAUAACGGUCCUAAGGUAGCGAAAUUCCUUGUCGGGUAAGUUCCGACCUGCACGAAUGGCGUAAUGAUGGCCAGGCUGUCUCCACCCGAGACUCAGUGAAAUUGAACUCGCUGUGAAGAUGCAGUGUACCCGCGGCAAGACGGAAAGACCCCGUGAACCUUUACUAUAGCUUGACACUGAACAUUGAGCCUUGAUGUGUAGGAUAGGUGGGAGGCUUUGAAGUGUGGACGCCAGUCUGCAUGGAGCCGACCUUGAAAUACCACCCUUUAAUGUUUGAUGUUCUAACGUGGACCCGUAAUCCGGGUUGCGGACAGUGUCUGGUGGGUAGUUUGACUGGGGCGGUCUCCUCCUAAAGAGUAACGGAGGAGCACGAAGGUUGGCUAAUCCUGGUCGGACAUCAGGAGGUUAGUGCAAUGGCAUAAGCCAGCUUGACUGCGAGCGUGACGGCGCGAGCAGGUGCGAAAGCAGGUCAUAGUGAUCCGGUGGUUCUGAAUGGAAGGGCCAUCGCUCAACGGAUAAAAGGUACUCCGGGGAUAACAGGCUGAUACCGCCCAAGAGUUCAUAUCGACGGCGGUGUUUGGCACCUCGAUGUCGGCUCAUCACAUCCUGGGGCUGAAGUAGGUCCCAAGGGUAUGGCUGUUCGCCAUUUAAAGUGGUACGCGAGCUGGGUUUAGAACGUCGUGAGACAGUUCGGUCCCCUAUCUGCCGUGGGCGCUGGAGAACUGAGGGGGGCUGCUCCUAGUACGAGAGGACCGGAGUGGACGCAUCACUGGUGUUCGGGUUGUCAUGCCAAUGGCACUGCCCGGUAGCUAAAUGCGGAAGAGAUAAGUGCUGAAAGCAUCUAAGCACGAAACUUGCCCCGAGAUGAGUUCUCCCUGAGACUUUAGGUCUCCUGAAGGAACGUUGAAGACGACGACGUUGAUAGGCCGGGUGUGUAAGCGCAGCGAUGCGUUGAGCUAACCGGUACUAAUGAACCGUGAGGCUUAACCUUACAACGCCGAAG